GAUGAACGCUGGCGGCGUGCCUAAUACAUGCAAGUCGAACGAGCAUAUCAGUAUCUUGCUGCUCUGACGUUAGCUACGGACGGGUGAGUUACACUUUGAUACCCUACAUAUCAGACUGAGUUAACUUCGUAACGCCGGAGCUAAUACCGGAUAAUAUAUUUAACCGCAUGGUUCAAUAGUGAAUGACGGUUUUGCUGUCACUUAUAUAUGGAUCCGCGCCGAAUGAGCUAGUUGGUAAUGUAACGGGUUACCAAGGCAACGAUGCGUAGCCGACCUGAGAGGGUGAUCGGCCACACGGGAAGUGAGACAGGGUACAGACUCCUAGAGGAGGAAGCAGUAGGGAAUCUUCCGCGAUGGGGGAAAGCGUGACAGAGCAAAGCCGCGGGAGUGAUGAAGGUGCUAGGAUCGGAAAGCUAUGUAAUUAGGGAAGAACAAAUGUGUAAGUAACUAGGCACGUCUUGACGGUACCUAAUCAGAAAGCCACGGCUAACUACGUG
rnacentral:rRNA from 1 species